rnacentral:tRNA from 1 species
UGGGAUGUAGCUCAGUGGCAAAGCGCUUGCCUAGCAAGCGCGACGUCCUGGGUUCAAUCCCCAGUACCAA